AUUUAAAUAAGACAUGGCUUUCUUUGUUUGAGAAUUCUGGAAUGUGGUUGCAUAUAAAGAGGGUAUGUGUCCUUAUAUGGCCAGAGUUUUAGCUAAAAGGUCUGAUGUCAUUAUGGUCGUAGCUAUAUAGAAUAGUGGACAAAUGACCACAAGGCUUGUAAGCUGUUUGUUCUGUGACUUUGAAGACUCAGUCUGUCUUUUCCUGAGUACAGCAACUAACAUCUGCUGUUGAACAUCCAUGAUCCUGUAACAUCCUUU